rnacentral:rRNA from 1 species
AGUGAACGCUGGCGGCAGGCCUAACACAUGCAAGUCGAGCGGCAGCGCGUCCGACCACCCUCGGGUGGUCGGAUGGCGGCGAGCGGCGGACGGGUGAGGAAUGCAUCGGAAUCUGCCUCGUUGUGGGGGAUAACGUAGGGAAACUUACGCUAAUACCGCAUACGACCUACGGGUGAAAGUGGGGGACCUUCGGGCCUCACGCGAUGAGAUGAGCCGAUGCCGGAUUAGCUAGUUGGCGGGGUAAAGGCCCACCAAGGCGACGAUCCGUAGCUGGUCUGAGAGGAUGAUCAGCCACACUGGAACUGAGACACGGUCCAGACUCCUACGGGAGGCAGCAGUGGGGAAUAUUGGACAAUGGGGGCAACCCUGAUCCAGCCAUGCCGCGUGCAGGAAGACGGACCUAUGGCUUGUAAACUGCUUUUGAACGGGAGAAAACCCCCCUACGUCGUAGGGGGCUGAUAGUACUGUUAGAAUAAGCAUCGGCUAACUUCGUGCCAGCA